UACGUAGGCAGCGAGCGUUGUUCGGAAUUACUGGGCGUAAAGAGUGUGUAGGUGGUGCUCUAAGUUUGGUGUGAAAUCUCCCGGCUCAACUGGGAGGGUGCGCCGAAAACUGGAGUGCUUGAGGAUGGGAGAGGAAAGCGGAAUUCCUGGUGUAGCGGUGAAAUGCGUAGAUAUCAGGAGGAACACCUGCGGUGUAGACAGCUUUCUGGACCAUUUCUGACACUGAGACACGAAAGCGUGGGUAGCAAACAGG
rnacentral:rRNA from 1 species